UUUCACCAAGACCCAACAUAUGAGACCCGAUACCACAAUUGUAAACAACUUUGGCACGUCAGUUAUAUUAGUGUCUCGAACACGCACAUCAAAUGCAACAACUGUAAACGCAUAUGUAAAUGUUUUGAUCAACACAAGCUUCCAGAAGCACUACAAGCAGUCAUACCUUGUGACGCUAUGAAAUAGUGUGGGGCAUGUGGAAAAACAUACAGAUAUGGUAAAAAUGCAUGCCGAAUGUUUGUUUACACUGUGAGGAGCAACGAAUGGACGAGCAGAAAUGUUUCAUUCAACCCAUUGAAAAGAAAGAUCCACAAACAGCCUACAUAUUGUUUGACUUUGAGACACAAUUUCAUAAUGGUAAGUACGAGGCAUAUCAUGUAUGUGCAAUGGAUCUUGAGGGAAAGAGGAUAUGUUUACAUACAACGGCUAUACAUUCAUAGCCCAUAAUGCAUCUGGAUUUGACAACUAUAUAGUGCUGGAAUAUUUUGUAAAACAGAUCGUCAUGCCCCAGGUGACCAUGAGUGGGAGCCGGGUCAUGCUUAUGUAUGACAAGGCAUACCAGCAGAGAUGGGUUGACUCAUUUAGUUUUCUCCCUAUGCGUUUGUCAAAAACACCCUCAGCAUUGGGGUUGGAGGACGUGGAGUAGGGGUAUUUUCCCCACAAGUUCAACGCUACGGAGAGUGAAUACUAUUUUGGGAAAUACCCGUAUCCAUCAUUCUACGGAUACGACAAGAAAAAACUGCAUUCAUAAGACGGUACGGCACCGUUUGCGAGGAACAUUUGAAGCUAGAAGCUAGCUACAUUAGAAGCUACUGUGUCAAUGAUGUAGAGGUAUUGCGAAGAGCAUGAUCAAUCUAUCGUGGAACAUUCCUAGAGUGCCCCCAGCUUGACCCUUUCUCUUUCACCACGUUGGCAUUGAGCUGUAUGGGUGUGUUUAAAACAUUGUUUCUCCCAAGGGACACAGUGGCUCUGACGUAUGAAGGGGCGUACACAGCACAGAAUAAAACAUUCUGAUGUUUCCAUGCAGUGGCUUGAAUAUGUGCCUCACACAGAAGAAACAUGCCCUCAACCAUGGGGAGCAGUUUGCUCCGUUCUAUGUGGACGGUUAUAAUUCUGUAACAAACACUUGUUAUGAACUUGCUGGAUGUUUUUUUCUAUAUGUUUCAAAUGUCACGUACAGAGUGACAAGAACCCAGUCGCCAAAGUUCCAUUUGUUAGACAAUACAAGGCGUUUGGAUGAAAUAGAUGGCCUGCAAAAAUAUGGUUUGAAUGUUGUGAGUAGGCCUCAUUAAAACUGUCCAGUGCUCCUGUACAGGCCUUUAUGGCCACAUACAAAAGCACGAACGUCUGGAUCCUAGAAAGGCUCUCUUUAGUGGGCGUACGAAUGCUACGAAAAUGUACCAUUGGGUCAGCAAUGAUGGUGAUGAAAAAAUCAGAUACAAGUCUGUAUCCAACUGUACAGGCAAAAAAGAAAAAACAGUAUCCCGUCAGACAAGGAUUUUGAAUCUAUCAAUAAUUACUUCGGCCUCAUAUAGGGUGCUCCCACCCAGAGGUUUGUUUCAGUCCGUCUACAGAUGUCAUGAAAAACUCAUGUUCCCGCUGUGCGGCAAGUGUGCUGAGGCUUUGAACUAAACUAGUCAUGUCACUAGCCGACAACUGUCGGAGGUGUGGGUCUCACUUGAGCUGCAGAAGGCUGUGGAAAAGGGGUACAGGAUUGUGUCCAUCAAUGCCCAAAAUGCAUCAUCAUAAUGAUGAAGUCUGGCAUUUCCCCAAUAAGACAGACACAUUGUUUAGUGGGUAUGUGAAGACAUUCAUGAAAUGUAAGGUGCCCCAUAUAAAGAUUCUCCUAGUUGCAUGGAGAAUGUUUUCAAUGUAACGGUCAAUGGCAUAUUUGGCAUUCGUCUGUUGUAGGGCUCUGCUAGGAGCUAUGGAAACUUUCUUCACAAAUACACUGGCUGACACAAUCUUAACCUUGUAAUGUGCAGCUGCCGCAGUCAGAGAGAAUGGGGUAUUGGGAGCAAUUAAAUCGACUGCGGCUUGCUCCGGUGUGGCCUCCUCGCUAAUCCCUCAUUGUCCCCUUUUUAUAGACGCAUCGUCCAUAUGCUCAGCUGUGUCUUUACUAAACAGGGCGCUGCUGAACUGCGUCUUCACAGCCUGAUCUCCAAAACCUGUUCGUAAAAAUGUGUACGAAAAUCUUGAACAUACAAAUUUCGUAGUGAUACAUACGAAAUAAAUACGGACUGCAACUGAUGACGUCACCCUAUUCAAAGUGAAUGGGGACCUGCACCCCGUAAACACACUUUGUGAAGUCUAACGAUGUAAAAAUAAAGUGUUAUGAUUGCAUUUUUAACGAGAAAUCAAUGUUAACUUGUAAGAAUAGAAUACUAACCCUAACCCCGUCAAAAAGUAAAGUAAUCUUCUCCACUGGCAGAGAUAUGAAACUCCAGUGGGCCGCUGUCUGUUAUGGCUGAGAUGGGAGGGAUUUUGAUGAGAAUAUGUCUCUCGACGGACAUUUGCGUGAAAGGAACCGUAGAGAGAUCCAGUUCUGAAUUCUGUCGAUUGAUCAUGAAUGAGAGCCAUAGUUUCUUUUGCCAGAGUCCGGGAGCGUUUUAUCAGGGAACAGCCUGGAUCUGUGCCGACCUUCUUUUUGACAUGUCUCAUGUUUUUACCUCAACAACCUCCACAAUCGGUGGCCGGUCUUUCCAAAGCCCUGUGAGUCUCUACCAACGACAUUGUUCAUUCGCAAAGUUUAAACAGCGAAGGAGCGGUACAUAGCUGUUACCAACUAAUUGAUAGUCGACAAUAUUGCUAUAUACGUAUAAAGUGUAACAACCGGCAUGAAUGUCUGCUAGGAAUUUGGUAUUAAAGGAUUUGAUAUUAGUGGAUAAUGGAAAAGGUGUUGUUUAAAACCCAGUAUUGCCACCAGCUGUCCUUCAAAGGCUAUAGUUGACUCCUUUGCUACUCCAGAAUGUAAAUGCAGUUUUUAACAAUGCUGUUAUGCAUAUACCUGCCAAAGGAGGGUAACUACUAAUUCUCAAAUGAAUCGCUUUAGUUGUUGCCUGUAAACAGUCAUAAACCCCUAGGUCCAGUGCAAAGACUUUAGUAGUCCUGGAUUUAGUUCCGAAAUGGUGGAACGAGCUCUCUGAUGACAUCAGGGCCGCAGAGAGCCUUCACAUCUUCCGCCGCAAACUAAAGACACACCUCUUCAGACUCUACCCUCGACUAAUAGACUACAAAUUGUAGCACUUAAAUUGUACUUGUAACGCCACUUAUCUAUAGCAAAAUGUAAAUUGGCUUUUUUGAGGAAAUUGCACUUUUGUUUUUUACUCUGAGUUUGUAUCCCUAUGGUUGAAUGCACUUAUUGUAAGUCGCUUUGGAUAAAAGCGUCCGCUAAAUGACGUGUAGUGUUUUUUUUUUUGUAAUUUUACUAGCACCUGUUUCUCGCUCCUUCAGAUUUUUCUUUCCAAUAGGUUUUUUAAUUUAAUUACUUUGUUUUUACCGAUAAUUACAUUUUGCAACUCCCUCUCGUAAAAUGCCCUUUUCGCCGACAGUCAGUAAGCCGUAGGCGGAUCUCUGGUUAUACACUUUGAUAUUAUAAAAUGCUAACCGGUGAAUGUUUGUUUAUAACCCUUCCUAAACACUUCUGAGUUUUUAAACUUGUAUAGAUGGUUGAAGACAACCUUUUCAUUCAAUUGUUAUAGGCGCCUAUGAGAUCUUGAACCACAUCCAUAUAUCUGAUAUGUACAGCUGCCUUGGCAAGUAAACUCGGCAAGUAUACACGUCUUGUUGAAAAUGAAUUAACCGCGGACAUUGACACACACCGGUACAUUCUCUAACGGCAUUGCAGUUUAGCCACACUGCCCAGCCUGCCGGGGUGUGCUGGAUCAUAAUAAAUCUUUUGCAGCGUCCUUUCCAUGAUAGUUCUAACAUUUUAUUGUUGUAUAAAAAACAUAUCGACAGUAGUCUGAUAACAAUAUCAUCCGUUUUAAAAACGGGCAUACCUCCAUACCCCCAAAAAAUGCCAUAUAUAUACUAAGCUUAUAUUUAGGGGACAACGAGACAGGUAGCAGUAUUGAUUUAGUUGAUAAAAGAACCGCACCAGAGGACGAAGCAACAAAUUAUGAUUUUUUUACGUUUUGUAAGAUUUGUGGGAGCAGCUUGGCUCUAUUGACGCAGUUUAAAAUCCCAACUGUAAAAGAAACAGCCAGAACUUCAACUACUCCAAGCCUUUUCUCCCGUCAAAACUCCUAUCACACUUGAAAAGUCAAAUGAAAAAAUGAUAUCAAAGGAAUAUACAAAAGUAGAUAUUGUCCCUUGAGAGAGAAUUUCAGUCAUUACAUGUGUCUGCUUUGAACCAUCAUUCAGCUUUAUUUUGGCGACCGACCUCUAAAGAGGGGCAUGCUCAAGGCAGACCAUUUCGUGUUUCUAUUUGAAGACAAAAAGCAAUGAAAGUGCAAUCUUUGAGAUUUGAAUAUUGCACCGCUGAAGUUCCUGCCGAAAGAACAUUUUUCAAUUAGUUGAACAAAAUGCAUUUACAAAAAACCCUGUGCCAAACCCAAGGCUCAUUUUUCCACCAGUUUUUUUUGCAUUAUCUUUUCUAAUUAUUUAAUAAUGAAAUAAAAGGUUUCUUUAAGAACGUGUAAAUAAUUGUGGCUUUGAAAUUUGCCAUUUCCAUGACGCUUCUCAUAAUUUGCAACAUCAUUGUUUAAAAAUAAUUCUUGAAUGGAAAUCAAAUGAGAGAGCAAGAACGAGAGAGAAGGGGCAGAUUUGGAAGCAUCUAAGAGUUGGGCCGGGUAAUUAAUUUCCCAUUGGUGCAGCACAUUUGCUAGAGGCCAUGUAAAUACUCUCCUACCCUCCGAAGCAUGGCAUUUUAAAGGGAUCAGCUGCCUAUUAAGCUACAGAUUAGCAUUCUGUGGGUUAAUCUCCCACCCCAAGAGCAGAGGAAACAGGCAACGAUGACAAUGAUGCGCAGGGACGAAGGAAAAUAAGAGGGAGGUAGGAAAGAGAAUGCAGAGUCGGAGAUGUGAAGGAGAAAAUCAAAAAUAGGAGGAAUGAAGAAAUGUAAAUUGGCAAAAAAAGAGAUGAGAAGAAUAUAAAAAGGAAAACUAUAAGUCAGACAAGGAGGGGAAUAUAUAUAUAUGACAGAUUUUUUCAAUGUGUAUACUAUUAUGAACCAGACAAUAUUGGUCACCAUCACCUACAAUCUAGCAAACACAAAGCCGAAUGCAUCAUUUAGCAUUUGGUGCACUGAUUAUAUUACAAUAAUUCAAUUCAAGUGUCGUGAACAUAAACCAGUGAGAGCAAUUUUUUUCAGGAUACCAGUGGAAAAGUAUACGGAAUUGGUGGGGAGCAAGGUGAUGAGACCAGACAGAGCAAGGCCGGCAGACCGAGAGAACCGGGAGGAUGAUCCAACACUGUGGCCACAGGGAGACAAGACAAGUAUAUAUAUUCAAGCAUUUGAAAAUACUCCAAAACAGGCUUCUAUGUACAACCUGGAACAAGUUCUACCACUGACGGUUUUACAACAAUCUGGCGUUGUGGAUCAGAAAUCGGGGUAGAUAUGCUGUGGAGUGAUGAGUAGAUAGAAGGCAGCUGGGUAGAACGGGCUAAUGUUGUGGACGGAGGAUGGCGCCCCACCCAUGAAGGGAACACAGACAAACAGGCUAUGUCUCAUUUGGUGAGCCGCAUACUCAUGAGAACCCGGCAUUCGCAGUCGACCUGGGAUGGGCCAAUACAAUCAUUUUAAAAAAGAAAGAGGGACAGGUAGCAGACAGGUUGGAGCAGAUAAGCUAAUUCUCCAUCAGAGCCUCCCAGUACAAGGGAAAAUAAAAAGACAAGAGAACAAACAAAUGGCAAAUAAACAAACAAGCUGCUGUGAAAGCAUACACAGCAGGGUGCCUCUUAUUCGUACUGUGACAGCGGACCUCUGUACCUCCACCCCUCGUUCAUCUUUUCCACCUCAAUGUAUCAUCUACAGUACGCCCCAGUGUUCUCCAUCAUCUUCCCUUUGUUACCGUCAAUGUGUGGAAGAAUUUAACAAUAAUUCUUGGCAUGACAGGACGUCACUGAGAGAGCAGAUACACCGGUUUCCCCUCCCACAAGGUUAGUGAGGCCAGAGCUCUAAUUCAAAUUCACAUCACGUCCUCCUUCAACUAACCUCACUCCUGCGGUUACACUUUUAACAAUUUACUUGUCAACUCCUCUCUGGGAACCGUCACCUUAUCGUGGUGGAGAGAUUUGUGUGUCCCUAUGACCCUGAGGGUUGUGUUGUCGGGAGCCUUGUGCUCCUGGUAGGGUUACUCUUGGCAAAGUGGUCUCAGGCGAGGGGCCAGACUAAGAAUGGUUCAAAAAGACCCUAUGAAAAAACGGAAGAGGGAAGGAGUUACCCGGCCCGGAGGAAGCCCGGGGCCCCCAUUUGGAGCCAGGCCCAGAUGUAGGGCCCAGAUGGAGGGCCCGACAGCGAGCGUCAUGGUUCUCAGCAAGAAACCGAUGGAUUGCCUACUCCAGGUAGGGAAUGUGUCCUUACCCCAAGUGAAGGAGUUCAAGUACCUCAGGGUCUUGUUCACGAGUGAGGGGAAGAUGGAGUGUGAGUUUGGCCGGAGAAUCGGAGCAGCGGAGGCGGUAUUGCACUCGCUUUACCGCACCGUUGUGACGAAAAGAGAGCUGAGCCGGAAGGCAAAGCUCUCGAUCUACCGGUCAAUCUUCAUUCCUACCCUCACCUAUGGUCAUGAAGGAGUCAUGACCGAAAGAACUAGGUCACGGGUACAAGCGGCUGAAAUGGGUUUCCUCAGGAGAGUGGCUGGCGUGUCCUUUAGAGAUAGGGUGAGAAGCUCAGCCAUUCGUGAGGAGCUCUGAGUAGAGCCGCUGCUCCUUUGCGUCGAAAGGAGCCAGUUGAGGUGGUUCGGCCAGCUGGGAAGCGGCCCCGGGGAAGACCCAGGACUAGGUGGACAGAUUAUAUCUCUGCACUGGCCUGGGAACGCCUUGGGAUCCCCCAGUCAGAGCUGGUAGAUGUCGGGAAAGGGAAGUUUGGGCUCCCCUGCUGGAGCUGUUGCCCGGCCGACCCGACCCCGGAUAAGCGGUUGAAAAUGGAUGGAUGGACCUGUCAGCUCGUAAUGCCACCAAUCGCAAGGGUAGCAGUUCAGUUGGUCUUAAAUGGACAAAAUGACUAGAGAUAACACUGCAUGUAAAAUGAAAAGACGAGUGGGCGUAGUGUUGCUAAGUGCCAGAAAACCAGACAUUUUACAGAGACUCCAAAACCACAUUUAUAUUCAAAUGUAAACUAAGGAAACACAAGUACUUUUUGAGUCAAGCAACAGAAGUACUUGGGUCCAAUCCCAAUCUGCACCCUUACGACGCAAACUUUGAGGCACGCUCCCGCUGACUCCAUGGGGGGUUAGGGCUGUCUCACUGUGAAAUCAUUGUGUGUUUACGUCUUCUGACUUACUAGGGCAUACAAGUGAGUCUCUGAUGCGGAAAUCAGAUGAUCACCAAAAGCUCCAAAUAAACUUCCCCUCGUCUGCUGUGUGAGGUGUGCCAUUGUGCUGCUGAGUUAUUCUUUGGAAGUUUUGGAAAGGUUUUCGGCCAUUUGUUUUAUUUUUACCUGUUUUGUGGCGCGUAACAGCCUCUAACCCUAAGCAUUCUAAAAAGGCCUUAACAGUAAGGUUUAACUGCUGCACCCUGAGCCGCUUUUUGGCCACUGCUCAAAAAAUACCCAUGAUAUAAAGUGUAAUUACUGUUGUGACCAUUUGUCCUUGGGAUCAAUAAACAAUUGUGUCAAAGGGCCACCGAUGCAUUACUAGCUAGUUUCUUUUACGCAGCAAGAGAGCGGCUUGUCAAAGCAGAAAGAAAUCCAUCAACACCAACCCUAACCCUAACCCAAGUUUUAUACACUUACAAACACAUACAGACCGAUGAACAUGCAGCACUGUACUGGGGAUAUGCAACAAUCUCUGCACACAUGUAUGCUGUCAGAAUAUAUGGGAACAGUUGAUUGCACACACACAGACACACACUAUCCCCUGAGAAAUCCCCACAUGAGUUUUAAGCUCAGUGGGGAACUGUGAUUCUCUAACAUGCGUUUGAUUCCUGUGGGAAUUAUUUUAAUAUUGCAUUUAGACCAUUGAAAACAAGCUGCCAUACGGAGCUCAAUAUUUUGCUGUUGUGGAAAAAUGGAAUUGUAAAAGCAUUCCACAUAGCCAGUAAACUGUUUUUCCUUUUAGUCAUUACAUGUGUUGCGUAAUAGUUUAAAGCACGGGAAACUGACAGCAAAAACUCCAUACAAGGUAAUCUUGGUUUUAAGGUAGGAAAUCAGCUAGGGGGUGCGGAUUACAGAGGUAUGAAGGUUCAUGUGAAAACACUGCUAAUCCCAGAGUUUAAUGUAUUGAAGCAACAGACAAUGUUGGACGUGUGAAAAGAAGGAGCAUUCCAAAACACUAUAUGUGCCAAGAUAUUUCCCAGGCUGUAGAGGUCCAAAUUGUUACAACAAUCUUUGUAGUGGACAAUCGAAGAGCGCUACAGCGUGCAAUAAGGUAAUGGGAUGCUAACUAAAAAGCAUUGAAGAAACUACAGCAUGCAAACCCACAUUCACACUUCCCCAUCUGAGAGAGACAGAAACUACUACUACUACUAAAGGUACCACUAGCCAAACUCUAAUUUGGAGAAAUGAUUGAUUCCAAAAACAUUGAGAGGAUUCAACCUGGAAACUUCUGUAAUUAUUUAGGCGGAUUUACUGAUCACGGCGUGAGUCCCGUGGCUCGAGUCCAUAGGUAGCUAGAGUACAGGGACUCUACAGACGGAGAGAAAGUCAGUAACGCACAAGGUAAGGCAGAGGAACUCACAGACCGGCAGUGGUGAUUACCGUUGAAUAAAACAGAAUAGACUUCAACCAGGGUUGAAGAACCACCAAUGACGAGUCCUCAUUGGUCAUAGCUGUAUCCCGCUCAGGAAUGUGGCAAUGUGGAGGUGGGACCAAGAACACACCCACAAUAAGCACAUGGCAAAACAGAAUAAAAUGGGGAUGACGGACACAUGAGGGAAGGAGUCUUGGGGGUAAAAACCGAGGCAAAAGAGAGAACGGGAACAGGGAUCCUGACAUUUGUGGGGGAAAAACCGAGACUUUUCUUCAUUCUCGGUUCUGUGCUUUACGGAGACGUGGCUUUGUGGAUCAAUACCAGACUCCGUGUUCCAGCUGCUUAGAGCGGACUGCAACACGGAGCAUUAAGGCGAGACAAAAGGUGGAGGAAUCUGUUUUUUUAUCAACACCAGCCGAUGCAACGAGGUGUCAGUGAUCCAACCAUAUUGUUCUCCUCAUCUGGAAUCCUUUAUUGUAAACUUUAAACCCUUCUACUGCCCCUGUGAGUUUACUGAUCAGUGUUUAUAUGCUUCUGCAUGCCAACGUGCAGGAAGCACAUCGGAUGCUCGCCGACUAGAUACUGUGUUUGGAACGAACCAACCCAGACUCCAUGAAACCUCAGCCAUGAACUCUCCAAAUAGUUAAAUGCUUCAUCAGAGAGAAGAAAACUCUGGGACCAUCUAUCUUAAAGAGCUUGUAACACCGUAUUACAAGGCAGCUGUGCUCCAUAGAUGCUGGGUUACUUGUUGUUCCUAUGGUUUUAAAAAGUAGGAUGGGUGCCAGAGCCUUCAGUUAUCAAGCUCCUCUUUUGUGGAACCAGCUUCCAUUUUCAGUCCGGGGGCAGAUUCGGUCAGCUAUUUUAAAGUAAAGCUCAAAACUUUCCUCUUUAAUUUUGCUUAUAGUUAGGACUGGCUCAUGUUAGCCCGGACCAGCCCUUAGUUUAGCUGCUAUAGGCUUAGACUGCCGGAGGACUUCUUAGGACACACCGAGCUCCUCUCUCAGGCUCUCUUUCUACAAUAAUUCACGUUUUAUUAAUGCACAUAACUAGAUUGUAGUUCCUUCUGGACCCUGGUCCUGACACCUGCCGUGGCCCUGCUGACACCUGCUGCUGCCAUCAUCAUCAUUAUUAUUAUUAUAAAUAUUAAUCAUAUUACUGUACUCAUAAACCAACAUUACCCUCUCCUAAAGUCUUUGUGCUCCCCCCCCCCCAACAGGCUUCUGUGGAUGGUGGUUGCCCCUGCAGUGGUCCUGCUGUGCGCCUGGCUUACUACUCACAAUUAUUUGAAUCAUUUCUGUCAUAGGAAUUGCAUGCAUUAUACAUUGUUAAUUCUGUACACAUGGCAUCCAUUGUAGUCUGUCCAUCCCGGGAGUGGGAUCCCUCCUCUGACGUUCUCCCUAAGGUUUCUUCCCUUUUUUUUCCUUCUUGGAAGGGUUUUUUCAUUUUUUGGGGAGUUUUUCCUGUGCCGAUGUGUGGGUUUCGGGACAGAGGAUGUCGUAUGUGUACAGACUGUAAAGCCCUCUGAGGCAAAUUCGUAAUUUGCGAUUUUGGGCUAUACAAAAUAAAAUGAAUUGAAAUUGAAUUGAAUAGUCCCAAUUGUCAGGGAUGCGGGGAAGGCAGGACUCACACGCAAACUUUGAGCAACAAAAGAAGACUUUAAUAGUCCAAAUGUUCAAAAAUCAAAAGGCCAACGGGCAAAAACGCACACAGAAACAGAGGCAAAAGGGCAGGCAUGACCUAAGAACAUCCGGGACAAUAGACAAUGACGCGACAAGUGACAAGAGACACACACUGCUUAAAUACACUAGGGAGGUGCAGGUGAUUGGACACAGGUGUAAACAAUCCGACAAUCACAGGGGGAUGACAGGACCAGUUACACGGGGACACAAGUGGCAGAAAACUACAAAAUAAGACAGGAAGUGAACCACACCGUGACAGCCUCUCCCCUACACUGCCGCUGUAACAGCACGGCUUGUCUCUGGUGAGUCUGCUCGAUAGCGGUUUGUCGUAUCUUCGCUUUGCUUGGGCCCCUGCCUCGAACUGUGUAAGAAUCCUGUAAGAAAGGGUUCAACGUCUAGAAACAAAUUGAAAGUUUGGAUUGUUACUUUCCAAAUGUCACUGAAUUAGAGUAAAAUUUCCAAAUUACCUAGUUCAAUCAACUAGAGUUAUGGAAUUUGCCUCAAAAAAGUGUAGAGAAUACAUAAAAGCCAUAUCCUGGUCUUCAAGAUGCUUUUACACUACAUUGAGUCAACGUUGAGUUAUGCACACUCACAUUCAUAUACUGAUGGCACAGCCUUUGGGAUUAACGAAGAAUGAUUACUGGAGAUGCCUGUGAUCAAACCUUAUGAUCUUAUGAUUAGUGGGAGAGAUAUAGCUGGUUUGCUAUCUUUAGCAAACUUUAGUAGGGCUAGAGAAUAGAUUUACAUUUUUAAGCGAUUAAUGAAUAUUAGACUAAAUCUUGAAAGUAAUGAGUAAUUACAUUAGAAUGCAUGUAUUUUUGACAGUUCAAUUUUAAACACAACUGCACACAUUUUAUCAUCUUUGAGGCACAAUUCCACCUGGUGGAACAUGUUGAACUAGCAUCUCAUCUUGCUGUCCUUGUGCACUUUGCUCUCAACUCUCCAUGAUUUGACGGCUGUGUUUGAAGUGCCAACAAUCUCCCCACAUUUAGCCAGAACGUUUUCAAACCGCGGUCAUUUAGGGACACAGUGGUGGUCCUGAGCAGAGUAACAUAGCAGUACUUUAAGUGGUCCGUUUGCCACUCACCCCCCUUCUGUUUGACACAUGGAGUAAUUCCUUUGCAUGUUCACACCUCUUUUGUUUUACUUCCAAUGCAAAAAGCUCUCUCCAUCUUGAUGUAACUGACUGCAGCGAGCGGUCGUUUAGUUUCCGCGGUCAACUUCCGGGACCGUAAGUAAACAAACUAAAAUAUUAUAUUUUGUUGAAUUAAUCUAGUCCACAUUGAACACAUAGAUUAACACAUUUAUGUUGACAGCCCUAAUCUAGUUAUGGCAGUCAAGUUAUGAUUCACAAUUUAUUCAGAAUGUCUUCCUUGUUAACUUAAAAAUCACUUAUUUUUGGUUAACAAAACCGUCAUGUUACCCUGUCAGGUUCUGGUUAAUGUUGCUGACUAAGUGCCAGCAGGCCUGCCGGACCUCUGGUGGUAUUGCUGGUACUUAAUGUCCCUCUGAGUACUAACCUGCCGCUCCAUUCCCUCCACUCACACACACAGUUCUGUCAUUAUCAUCUCCACACACCCACAGCAGGCUCAACUCCAGGUAAUGCAUCCUUACCCCCUUUGCUCCAUGCUACCCUUUUAGAACCCUCUUCCCUGCUUUAAACAUUAAUGUCAGGUCUUUACCUCCUUUAUCUGAACAUAACACUGCCAAUUUCUUUCAGUUGGAGUCUAAACUUGACCAGUCUCUCAGCAAUCAUUACGUUCUCCUAAUCUGGUCUGUCCUUUUUUGUUCCUCUUCUUUCACCUUCUCAACUAAAUGUUCACUGGACUCUUAAUAGCCAUCCCUUAAGCAAAGUUAUUAUCACAGAAUCCUCUUUUUCCACAAGUUUGCAAAUGCUUCUCCACAGUAUAGAAGUUUCUCUUCUAUGGUGUCGCUACAAAUCCCCUCCCCCGUUAUGUUUUACGUGAGGUCCCAGCUGACCAUUCACAAACAACCUUUGUCCUUUGCAAAAGGUUACGCUGUGGGCCCCAGUUUAGAACUGUUUAACACACAGUUCAACUUAUCUUGCACGGGCCAAGUUUGAAGACUUGGGAGGGGAUGGGGCAAGCAAGGUUACAAUAUCGUUCAAUCGUUAGUGUUUGGCAAAUUUUAUGGAAAGUUUUAACAACCAAUCAAUUAGGAUCUUCCCAACCAGGUGCAGACCCCUAUGUAUUGUGCAGCACAUCCCGCUGCCUAGGUAUGCUACACUCACUUCAAUAUGCAGGAUAGAAGCGGCAGCGCCCCCAUUGUAGUGGGCUCCGCCUGCAAAAUUCUCUGCAGCCAAAUAUGCCUGAAUACACAGAGAAAGGGCGUUUACGGUUUGCUUCCUCAGGAGGCUGAUAGGUAACCGGAGGCAGUGACAGAAUAUUGGUGGCUGGCGCGGGAAACACAGCGGCGCUGAGACCUCCGGCUCGCGCUCAUCGCAGAGUAGAGUCAACCAACCGCUGCUGCCAAUGAAUUUUGGAAAUGAGCUUGGGAGGCCGUGCCGACUGCUGCCUGCAUGUUCAUUGCCAAGGCUGUUCAAAGGGAAGCAUUGGCGAGAUCCCCCCUGGGAAAAGGUUGCCAAGACGGGCCCUAACAGGAUACCUCAAUCAACUAAUCAAUCGGUUGAAAUAGGCAGUAAGUGGGCCAAUAGCAGAAAAGGAUAGCUCAGAGUGUGUGUAAACUUUUACGGCUAUCUUAUUUUUCUUCUCGGUCUCCUCUGCCUUUAAUGAUUUAAUGUCAUAGUAAACCGUAAAGAGACAAUAGCCUCUGGAUUUAAACAUGUGGGUCAACCAUCUUCAUUUCAAUGCAGAGCCAAAUACAUAUUCUGUAUACAGACCAAACUGUAAAUCAGUUAACGGGUGAGUAAUCUCACUCUUACCCUUACAUUAAGAAGCUUAUGGCUGCCGGAGACCUGUUGCCGGGACCCCGGAAUUCAGCAGCCUGUCUCCCGUCGCCGGAAUCCCGUGCCCGGUUCCUGACUGCUGUCCCGGCUGACUACCGGGGAUUCCCCGGCCACCCCCCAGAAGUUCCGCUGACUGCCCAACCUUCGUCCCCUGGUCCUGUCCCUCUCACCCCUCUGUUUGUUCUCUGCCUGUCCCACCCGCCCAUGUGUGCCGUCUGGGAUACGUGUUUCGUGUUAUUUUGUAGUUUCCUGCCUCUCGUCUGGUUUUGCUUCACUUUCUUUAAGCCAUGUGUGUCUUUUGUCCCUUGUCGAGUCAUUGAAUGUUGUACCACGUUUGAGGUCCUGGUCCCCGUCUAUGUUGGCCGUUUGCCCCUAGGUACUUUGAAUUUGGAAUUGAGAAUAAUGUACUUUUUGGUUGCAAAUCUGCGAUUGAGUCCUGCCUCCCCUGACAUGACAAGCGGUACUAGAAGAUUUUCACGGUGGCGUUAUCAUUUCACCAUCUUGGAAGAACAUUUUGUGUUUAAUGAUGGAGUGACUUACUCGAAAUGAUGCUUCACGGCAUGCUCUCAUACUCAUGAUAUAAAGUUUAAUAACUGUAAACUUUGUAGGCAUGUGACGCAUGUAAACUUUUUUUGGGGGGGAUUUUCCCGUUCAUUUUUUAAUGCUUUAAAAUAACCAACUGCUCCUAAAAGAAUAUCAGAUAGACUUCAAAUUUGGUCAGUACAAUAUAAAAGCCUCAGUGAUUAAGUUAUACAAGUCUGCCACUAUGCUACAAAGUUGUUGGGAGCCUGAAAUGCCGAAUUUGUGAUAACCCAAUUAAGACUGGCAUAUCGGGUACAGCUGUCGUUCCAUAAGCAAAAGGCUGCCGGAUCGGCUCUUAGUUUGGCAUGUCUUUUUUGUGCUACUGCAUAUAUGUACUGAAACAGUUUUCCAUUUAAAUGUAUUCACUUUUGCGUGAAGCAGAACAAAUCUAGAUUGGUUUUAGUGGGGGCUUGACGGGAGAGUCACGACUUUUAUCAUAGCACGCCCAAAGGGUGAAAGCCCCAACUGCAAUGUGAACCAAAACCGAUUUGGUGCUCCUGUGCUUGAAUGUACCUAAUUGAGAUAAUAUGAAGACAUUAGGCAUCAAAUUGGCCCUUUCUAUGUAAAUGAGCCUCAUCACAGUCAGUCCAAUUCGCAAAGAGAUGCAGCGACAUAUAUAAGGCCUUUCACGCCCCGAGACCUUCCUUUGGAUUGUACCCUUGUAAGGGAAUCGCCAUUAUUUGCUACAAGAGAUUUAUUUUGUAAUGCAAUGACAGUUGUGUCAUGAAAAAUUAAAAAAGUACAUUGGUAUUUCAUCCCGUUGUUAUUCAAGAAAGUGUUCUUUCAAUUUGAGUGAAUGACUCGUGUAUUUCACUCCAGAUUUUGUCAUGAUUUUCCCUCAACAUGUCCACAUAUGCACGCACCUGUCGGGGCGGAACGGCCGUGCACAGUGAGAGUGGACGUAAAAAAACAACGGACUUUCUUGGAUGCAGGUGUGGCGCUUGGGGGGGGGGGGGGGAGGCACAGUGCCCCCCUUUUCCAAUGGUAUGCUGGUUUACAGCUACAGAAAUGACAAGCAUCAGACAUUAAUCCAUCCAUCCAUCCGUCGUCAAACCGCUUAUCCUGCACACAGGGUCGCGGGGGGGCUCGAGUCCAUCCCAGUCAACUUUGGGUACAAUCGCAGGGCUAACACAAAGACACACAACCAUUCACACAUCUCAGACAUUAAUGUAAAACAAUAUUGCUAUAAUGAAAUAAAAUAUUUUUCUGUAAUAGAUUUAAAAUGAAAACUGACAGAACAGGGAAUAUAACUAGUGUAAAUUAUGCAAAAUGCUAUCAUUCAUGGUGUCAGUAGUGGCUGCAAUCAGUUUGUUUUAAAUUUGCCCCUCUGUGUGAUAAUUUUGUAGAGGACUUGCUGUGGAAAACAAAUCUGUCUAAAGACCACUCUGCAGUGUUUGCAGUUGGCUUCAUUUUGUUAUAGAUGGGGAACAUCUGUUUUUUUUGUCUCCAUUAUUACUUUUGCUUAAAUAUAUUUUAGUAACAGCUGCUCCCCAAAUCAGUUUGGUUUUUCAAACCGUAUUUGACAGCCUGAAAAAGGCCCGAAAUGACAAACCUAGAUAACGAAAGAGAAUACGUACACGGCCUGACGUUGUGGAGUAGCUUGCGCUUUCUGAUGAAAAUACCUUGUGGUUUUAAUGGAUUUAACAUGUUUCUGGAUAAGAUUUCUACAUGCUCAAUACAUACAAACUCCCUCUUAAUCUCCUAAGGGACAGAUCACUGUUCGCAGAGUUUCCAAUGUUUGAUGUGACAAUCAAGCUAUUUUAACAUUAAGGUGUCACAUGUUUUCUAAAUAAAGCACACAGCUUUUAUGCACCAAUCUAAACGAUGGUCCAUUUUCUCAUUUCUGCUGCUGUAAAGAGUUGUGUGUUAGAAGAGAAAAUGGACCAUUGUUUAGAUUGGUGCACAAUCCGCUCGGUCCAACCUAUGCGGUUGUUAGAGGACCAUCCCCGGGCGAAGACUGGAUUACAGUUCUUUCUGAUGGCUUAGGCACAUUUUUUUUGUAACUGCAAUUUUUGCAAAUCUCUACACACCAAAUCAGCAAAAGCUAAUAAACCUCGCUUAACUCUUCAAACAGUUAACACAAGCCAUCACAUUUAUUAGCACACAAUGCGCACUACACGCCGAUGGCAUGAAUAAAGAACAUCUGGCUUAUGCUUUCGAUGCGCACAAGGUAGGCUCUAUCAGUUUGAGGUCAUUCUUUUGUCAUAGUUCUGUUAACGUACAGGGAUCCAAACUUAUGCUAUUGGUGUUUAUUUACACAAAUCCAAACACAAAAUAGUAAUUUCACUGAGAAGAAUAAUUAAAAAAUCAGUCUACAUUGUGUCGUCUCUCUGGGUCCGGCCCCAAAAUUUCGUCUACAUCACAUGCAAUGUCCUCUAGUCCAAGGCACUGGGGAAUCUAUCUUCUGGAAUGCCGUAUCCAGCCCUGACAUGAUGCCUGGUCAAUAUUCCCACAUGCCUCCUCCAUUGCCUGUAAAAGGGCUACGCGUUGAUGGGGAUGACGGUCAUAGACCUUCCAGCACACGUUGAUAAUCGAACAACAAGGACUAUUUAUUGCCAUGUUGGGGAAAAAAGUUUGAAUGGCUGUUUUCAUUGUGUGGGGUCAGACAAUCUUGGGGCCCACAGUAUUGCAGGCUCUGCAAAAAAUAAUCCAUGGAGAUUGAAACAAAAAAGAUGACGUGCAGAGUGUGCACUCUGAGUCUAAAACUCUAAAUAAAACAUUUAAAAACAUGUUUUUAAAAGCUUGACUUUUAUAGGAACUCCCUGAGACUCUCACCCCCAUGAGUGUCACAGUGCUGUAUUUUGGGAACCCACUGGGCUUGAUUUUUUUAGAAACCGCUCAGUUCCUCAUUAUGAAGUCCACCUGGGUGCUGAAUCCGCCGAAUAAACAUCCCGGGAUAACAAGUCCGGGACAAUACUAUAAUCUAAUGGAGCAGACUGAUUCAUGCAGAGUGUAAAAGCAGAUCGAACAAGCACUUCCAGAAACUUUUUUUGAAGGACACAGUCAAAGACAAAUUAGACUGCAGAGGAAAGUCAGGGAACGCCUCUUCCUAUUAGUGCCUUCAUUUAUUUCAUGAAAAUGCAGGGACGACAUAAGAUGUGCUUGUCAAGCGUAAGGAAGUCGCCUCCCAACUAAUGAAGUCACAAGCUCUGGUCUACUGGGCUUCCUAUCUUUAACUCAAGCAUAACUGGUUUGUCUGUCCUGCAUGAGGGACAUUCUGAAUGUGUGUGUCUUUUAAAUUACUGACAUUAAUUGAAGGCUUUUUUCUAGAAUACUUCUAAGACCUCACUAUUAUGCCGACAGCUGGCAAAACAUGGAUAAGGACAGACGUUUCCUUAAUGAGUUGUGGAAUCUUUCAAAUUAAACUUAAAACCAUAUCCAAAUAAGAGGAGCAAAAGUCUCCUCCUCUUAAAGCCCUUUUGAAAAUGUGACAUUUCACCCACAUAAAUAAUCAUAACUAAAUAAGCAUCAAUCCCUUUAAAAGUUUGUGAAAAAGAUUGUUUGAGACAAUUUGUCAAUAACGCGAGUAAGGAACCGGCCAGAAGACAAGGGACACGCAUGGUUUAAAUGCACCGGGAAGGUACAGCUGCUUGGACAGAGGAGAAAACAAUCAGGGACACGGCAGACAAUCCCAGAGGGGGAGAAACACACCAGAGCAGCAAGUGAAAACAACCUAGCGACACGAGAGUCGAAUAAAACAGGAAAUAAUGUCACACCGUGAAGGAAUCUCAACCGGACAGUGGGUGUGGUUUGAUAACUAAAGUACUUUUGAUAAACCUACCAUAAUUAAUUAUAUCGUAUUUUGAGGGUUGAGCAUUAGCUAAGGAGUCUCUCGGACUCACAGAUAAACACUUGCAUCAGACCUUGAGACUGGCUACCACUAGACUGCAACCAGACAUUGAACUUCUCACCAGCCAGAAGCAAGCACACAGUUCACACUGAUACGGUAAGCACACUGAUUUUAAUUGCUAUAAAUAUGAAAUAUGAAGGCUCUUUUAAUUUGCUACAUAUUUUGUAAAAUUAUAUCACAGAGAAAAGCAGACAGCAGCACAUCAUGCCAUUUACUGAAUAUCGCAGGGUUUGUUCAGUUCACUUCCGAUUUACUCACUUGUUGCGAUGUUGCCUGAGGCGAAGUCGGUGCUGACAGUGUUGGGCAAGUUACUUAGAAAAUGUAAUUGUACUGUCAAUCACCUCAACUAGGCAGAUGUUUCUUACCUUGACAGCUUUGAUGUUAUUUUUGUUUGAAAAUAAAUAAAUGGAAUAUCUGUGAUAUUUCAAAUUAAAACAAAGUGUGAAGACUCGAUUAAUACUUUUGCAAACCACUAGUAAAGCUAAACAAAUAUGUGCCAGGAAUCAAGUGUUGAUAUAGUAGUGUGGAUAUAGUAGUGGGGAUGGCUGUGCCAGGCUAGUAAUCUCUACUACACAAUGAGGCCUGCUGGUGGUCAUUUUGAUCUGGGUCAUACAAUUCUAUGUUAUGUAGCUGACCCGGCCCCGGCCCCUCAUCACAGUCAGGAACGAUAAUGUGGCCCCCAGAGAAAAAAGUUUGGUGACCCCCUGCUCAUGAUUCUUCUCACGUGUUCACUUAGACUUGGGCUGUAUUCAAAGUUGCAGUACAUAAUAAUUCCAGAAUAUAUCAGUUUGUCAACCUUGCCUAUUGUAUCCCAUAAUGCAACGCGCUGGAAGAGUCGAUGGUCACAAUAAUCAUGAUCCGAAGCUAUUUAUGUAUGCUAUUUCACAACAUAAGUCAAGCCGUGAUGCAGUUGGUGAGGAUCAUCGAUGGUGCAAUGGUGGAAGUUCACUAGGAUCUGAGGGGACACAUGAGCCUUCUUCAGUCUCCUCAGGAAGAAGUGGUGCUGGUGAGCCUUCUUGGGUUGAGAGUCCAAGAGAGGUCCUCUGAGAUGUGGAACUUGAAGCUAGCAAUACGCUUAACCUCUGUCCCACUGAUUCAGAUGGCGGAGUGUGCGCCACCAUGGCUUUCUUGAAGUCCACAAUGAGCACCUUGGUCUUCUUGGUGUUGAGUGCCAGGAUGUUAUUGACGCACCACUCAUCAUCAAUAAACGAAGGAACGUUGGACACAGGGGUUUUUACAGUCUCUUUUGCGAGAGGCAGAAGGGGAAAAGACGUUGGCGUUCUCCAUGACGAGGUCAGCGUCUUCCACACUGCCAAGAAAUAUGACCGCAGCCCCGUUCACUUCACGUUGCUGUGGCCGACCAUCUCCCCCACUGCCAGGCUGCAGUCCUCCACCGAGCACACAAGCUGAUCGGCUGCAAAAUACACACUACAGGAAAACGAACACCCCAAAUACGUCACACUUAUCAACUACAACACUUAUCAACAUUUAACAGUCAAUCAAUAAACAUAAAAGACGCUAUAUCGCUCUCAGCUCCACGCUCAACACUCCUCCACUCAGAGACUUGGGAGGGGAUUUUUCAAAAAACACUGUUUGAAAUUGGAAAAAUUAUAAAUAUGUAAAGUGCAGAUGUGCUAAAAAUCACAGGUUGCCUUGUUCUGUUUUAUAAUAUACACAAUUUAUGCCAUAAAAACUGGAGCAAAUCAUCAUUAAAACACCAACCUUAUUUGAAAGCGUCUACGUCUCCAAUGCGUUUAGAAAAACGGAACUCUCCCACAUGGAAAGAACCUAUAUGUGGAUAUAUGCACAUAUAGGAAACCUAUAUGCAGUAUAUACUGCAUAUAUGCGAAUCUAUGAAACCUAUAUGCAGUUUACAUGCUGCAUAUAUGCACAUAUGUGCUGCAUAUAUGCCACAUAAAGACUAAAUUGUGGUGCCUAUAUGUGCAUAUACAGACCAUAUAGGUCUCCUGUAUUACUUAUAUCCACAUAUAAGCCCUAUGUACAUACAAAAUAUGUCUUAUACAGCUCAUGGCAGGAUCUGGUCAUUAUGUAGCUCAUAUCUCACUGUCAUACUGUCAUACAUGAUGCCUAGCUCAUAUUAUUAUCAAAGCAUUAAUUAAGAACUAAGUAAAAUAAAAAUUCUGAAAGAACUUGUGUAAAUGAAAACACGUGAAAUUAGUAUCACGUGUAUAUGUGAUGUUAUGGAAUUUAACUAUGGCAAUUAAGUGAGAGGAGAUGGAAAGCUCUGAUGGCUACACAUUUUCAAAUCUUUCUUGUAUGAAGAUAGUGGUAAAGAAGAAAAUGUGUUUUUAUUUUAUUUUGUCAAUCAAGCCUUUUUUUUCAGUUAUUCACAUUGCAGCUCAUACACAUCCACACAUUCACAUUAAUGCAGUUUCUAAAUGAAUAUGGCUGAAAGGUCAUUAGUCUAAAUGUAGCAAAAAAAAAGAUUCAUCAUCAUCAUCCCAUAUCUAUCUGAGCAUUUCACUGUGGUUAAUUAAUUUGAACACAAUGUCAACAUUUCCGUACACGGUUUUAACGAACAGACACUUUUCUUUCCAAAAAGAAGAGCAUGCGAGAAGAGAGGAGAUGAGAAAAGAGAAAGAAAGAGAGAGGGAGGCAUAGAGAGAGCGGGAGACAGGAGGGAGGGAUACAGUUAGAGGGAGGUAGGGACACACAGACAGAUAAGGAGACAGAAGCAUUCCCGCUAUGCCACAUAUGUUUACAUGAUACCUGUAGCUGGUAGCUUUGUAGCUAGCUUCUAGCAUGUUACUUUCGUUUACGUCUUCGCUUAGUUCUUUCUGGAACGGGUGCUUCGUCGUUGACGAGGUACCUUUUGUAACGUACUGGAUCCAUUAUUUUUCUUUAUUUGUUGCUUAUUUACCACAGACCGUAAAGCAUAAUGGCAAGCAUGUAUCCACUCUGCUCUGAUCGGCCGCUACAGCGUCGCGUGCGAAUGACGUCAUCAAUCGCGCUGGGCCGCUUGUUGAUGACGUCAUUCCCAUGCAGGCGCGAUCGCGCCGAAAGAUAACGGCUGGGACGAAGUAUAAAGUAUUAAAAAUGGAGACAUCAGCGUUCCGCUAUGUCCUACUUGAAUGGACUGAGGGUGAGGAUAGUGGGGCGCACAGUAUUUUGACGAUGGACUGUGUCCGGAACUUUUCAGUUCAAGAUUUUUUUGCCUCGACUGAACAACACAAGAAGCUGGUGGAAUGGCGAAAAAGCCGCCAACCCUGGCCGGUUCACCGAGCCAAAAUUAUUGACGUGGCAAGUAAGUUAUGUUACAUUUCUAUUAUGUAUAUCACAUUAAAUUUUGCUCGCACUAAAAGAAGUGAAAAAUGGAUCUUGUUACCUGACUAGCUUAGUAUGCUGGCUGUUAGGUAGCAUUAGCAAAUUAGGUAGCUAAGUCUCUUAAUUGGGACUAAUGCUACGUUUGGUAACGUUAAACAUGAUUAGACAAACGUUUGCAGUAAACAUUUCAAUUUUAUUGCACCAGAAUUUGAAAAACCUCCAAAUUAAACUGCGUGAGAUCGAGGUGGAGAAAGAGGGCACACAAACAAAACGUCCUCACAUCCCAAACUCAAAGUACAUUGAGCAGCAGGGGAAGACUGAGAAGGCUUUAAAAAAAAGGUAACUGACUGCACCAAUUGGUGCUUUAGUUCAAGUUAUCUCCCCUCUCUUGUUUCUUAAUGUGUAGGCAUGUUUGUAGGUUUGUAAUUGUGUCAUCUAUGAUGAUUUAAUGUGCUUUGACAAGAUAUAUGUGCAAGCUGGUGUAACGCAAGUUAAUAAGAGUUGGGCUAAAAGUCAGUCUGUGUCUUUCUGUCGGUUGACAAUAAAAAGGGAGGGUCUUCCAAAUACAAGCACCAGGAGGGUGAGAAGCAGGAGGAGGGUCAUGACAGACUUUCAAAGAACAAGGUACACUACCAGUCGUCCUGUGUGUGCUGUUACAUUACAAUACAUUCAUGGUUCCUCUGUUUCUCCCUCCAAAGGUUGCCGUGAAAAAGAAAAAUCUUUCUAAAUACGAGGAGGAGGAGGGAGAAGUGGAUGAUGAGGCGCGUCAUGACACAAAGAACAAGGUACACUACCAGUCUGCAUCCAGUGUGUGUUAUUACAUUGCAAUACAGUAAAGAUAAGUAAGACUUUUAUAAUAAAGUGCAUUACCAGUAGCUGUUACAAGGUAUGACACCAGCACAGUAGGCAACUUUGUCCUCUCUCUUUCUCUAUCCCUCCCAGCGGGCCAGAGAAGAGGAGGAGCAUAUUGGGGAUGAAGACGACAAAGUACCAGCCUCAAAGAAAAAGGUAGCCUAAAUGAUGACAUCCGAUGUGUGGUGUAUGUUUGCUAGACAACCAGUUACAUAUAGCCAAGUGGGGGGAUUUCUGCCGUAGACUUCUUGCCACCUUCCUCUUACAUUUCUUAUAACAUCCUCCCAGAAAAUCAGAAUCAACCAUUUACAAAAAAAGUUAUAUAACAAUUAGCUGUUGUUCUUCUCUGUAUUUCUCUUUCUCAUAGAGCGCUGCUGAAUUUAGAAAGCAACUGGACGAACAGAUGUGGGAGAGAAAAAAAAUUGAACAAAUGCAAAGAAAUUUGCAGGAGUUGCGAAAUGAAGUUCAGUCUCUCAAAAGUGAAAAUGCACAUCUGAAAGAUGUUCUGGAAUGGGAAGCAACCUGAAUGGUUCAAAAACGUGAUGUGUGUGUAUAUAUAAAAAGCAUCGUCCGGACCCUGAAAGCACCGUCUCCACCUAACUGUCAAAAAGAAAAACAGCGAGCGCGUAGAAAACUCCUUCCAGCGCGAGCAGAGAUUCUCCUCGCGAGCAACAAAGUUCACGUUUCGCAAGCGAGCAAAUACCUCGCAGAGACGAACUUUUGAUCGCGCGAGACAGACUUUUGCUCGCGGAUGUUUGACUUUGGUUAAAUUCUUAAGGUCAUUUAAUCAUUAUGUUUUGAUCAGAGUUGUGAUUAAAGGUUUGGGUGGGCCGCGAAAGAUUUUCAGAUUUCAAAUUGGGCUGCGGCAAUCUUGAGUUUGGGAAACGCUGGUCUAUGGAAAAGAGAACUAUGACCGGGUACUUUAACAUUAACAAAUGUAUGUAUCUUUAAGAUAACUAGGGUGUAAUUUGGAUAGGGGGUGGAUGUAGUGAUCAAUAUAUUCGGUGAUGUUGAAGGGCUCGGAACCGCAAUCGCUGACUAUAGGGCGGCCAGAACAACAAAGGGAACCGUCCAGGUCCCAGGAGUCUUAUGGAUUUUAGGGAGCAGAUAGAAGAGGCGGGGUUUGGGUUCAUCCGGGCCGUCCAAGUAUUGUUUUUGGUUAGGAUGGGAAUAAGGCUCUGGAGAGGGCUCUGGGGCAGAGUCAGAGACAGCGCCGUGGUCCGAGUGGGAUCCCCCACUUCACCAAUGAGGUCUGAGAACGCUUGCCGGUUGGCUUCUGUUGGUGAAACCUGAGCUCCUCUAUUCAACGGCUUUAUAAAACUAGAAAUGGAGCAGCUCGGUACAGGUACAACAUACCUGUUGUGUCAAACUCCCACACCCAGUCAUUCAUCCUCUGCUUGGAUCAGCGCCUCUUAUCCCGAUCCUGCCAUGCAAAGUACUUUAAAAUAUGCAACCAGUAUAUAUGAAAAAUCAACAGAAGCAUAUUUACCCAAUCAAAGAAAUGGAGAUUUCCCCACACUAUGUGGGUCCAGCAACACUCUGGCCACCCAACAGGAGACUGGCAUUCCCUGGAAAAGUGCCACUUUCCCUUUGAUAGGAGCACAGCCUUGAAUUCAGAGCGCCACCCCAUGGUGCCACCUGCUACACAUGGCAUAAACCGGUCCGGACUAUGCCCUUCACACAGUUAAAAUACAGUCUUCUUAUCUGCUUCAUGCUAUGUUCCCUCAGCAGUGCCCCCCAUCAGACCAGGGGUACCACUGCUGCUGAUGUCCCUCUUCGCUCUGUGAAUGUAAAAGGGUGUAAAAACACCCUAAUAAAACGGAGCAGCACAUUUAACUUUAAAACAUUAGAAUAAAUUAAAAACAGCAGUAUACAGUCCCAGGUUGUUUGCACGUCUCUCCAUACAAAACCAUCCGGAGCUCUAUGCUGAGGAACUCGUCAGUAAUGAACAGAGGGACAUCUGACAAUACUAUUUUUGUUGCUGGUUGUGAAAAUGCAACACCUGAACAAACAAUUAAUUCACCGUGCAACAUGUGCAGCAUCAUCGGGAAAUGAUCUUCCAGGCGGCUCACUAUAACCCGAUGGCUGGCCACAUGGGAUACGAAAAAACGCUAGACCAGAUAAUGACCCGAUUUUAUUGGCCAGGCAUCCGGCGGGACGUGCGCUGCGCUUCCUGCCCGGAGUGUCAGUUAGUGAACGCUCCGGCCGUUCCGAGGGCGCCGCUGCGUCCUCUGCCGUUGGUGGAGGUUCCGUUCGAGCGGAUCGGCAUGGACCUCAUCAGGCCGUUUCACCGGAGCGCACGCGGAUAUCGCUUUGUGUUAGUCCUCAUGGAUUACGCAACGCGAUAUCUGGAGGCAGUGCCAUUGCGCAAUAUCUCUGCAAAGAGUGUCGCGCAGGCUCUGUUUCAGGUCAUCUCCCGAGUUGGAAUCCCUAAAGAGAUUCUGACUGACCAGGGCACCUCGUUCAUGUCGCGCACACAGAGAACUUUACGGGUUACUGGGCAUUAAGUCCAUUCGUACUAGCGUGUAUCACCCGCAGACGGAUGGGCUGGUGGAACGUAUGAAUAAGACUCUGAAGUCCAUGAUCCGUAAAUUUAUUAGCGAAGAUGAACGUAAUUGGGACCACUGGCUUGACCCUCUGUUGUUUGCAGUGCGGGAGGUCCCCCAGGCCUCCACGGGAUUUUCUCCCUUUGAACUUUUGUUUGGCAGGACGCCACGAGGGGUGCUGGACCUUAUUAAAGAAAGCUGGGAGGAAGGUCCAAGCCCCUGCAAGAAUGAGAUCCAGUACGUCCUGGACCUGCGAGCGAAACUCCACACACUGGGCCGGAUGUCAAGAGAGAAUUUGCUGCAGGCCCAGGAGCGACAACAAGGGCUGUACGACAGAGGGGCCAGGCUGCGACGAUUUACACCGGGAGAAAAGGUACUUGUAUUACUUCCUUCUUCCAACUCUAAACUCCUAGCCAAGUGGCAAGGGCCCUUUGAUGUCACACGGCAGGUGGGGGACGUCGACUACGAGGUGGUGCGGUCUUGACAGGGGCGGGGGUAUACAGAUAUACCACCUGCACCCCCUGAAAGCCUGGAGGGGGGUGGAUUCUGUCUCUCUGGUCUCUACGGUAUCAGAAAGGGAGGAGCUGGGGCCGGAGGUUCCAAAAGCAGGUAAUCAUACCUCGCUCCCUCGAGAGGCUCAUCUCUCCGAAAGCCAGAGGGCGGAUGUUGCCAGAUUGCAGGAGCGGUUUGCUAAUGUGCUCUCUCCCUUGCCAGGCCGGACCGACCUCAUAGUACACAGUUUCGAGACGCCCCCGGAUGUGACGGUGAGGUCACGAUCCUACAGGUUGCCCGAACACAAGAAAGAAGUGCUUCGGAGGGAAUUGGCGAGUAUGUUGGAGUUGGGGGUAAUAGAAGAGUCCAACAGUGCCUGGUGCAGCCCCAUCGUCCUUGUGGCAAAGAAGGAUGGAUCUGUACGGUUCUGCGUGGACUAUCGCAGGGUGACUGACGUGUCACGGUUCGAUGCCUACCCAAUGCCCCGGGUCGACGAGCUCCUGGACCGGCCAAGCACUGCACGUUUCUUCACGACACUGGAUUUAACCAAGGGCUACUGGCAGAUUCCUCUGUCACCAGAGUCCAAGUAGAAAUCGGCAUUCUCCACCCCGUACGGUUUGUACCACACUUCCCUUCAGGUUGUUUGGGACCCCGGCCACGUUUCAGCGCCUCAUGGAUCGGGUGCAUUCUACCUGAAUGGAGAAUGGUUUAACGUGCUCUCACAGACCUUUGAUCAAAGGAGCAUUGUGUGUUACCCUCAUCUUCACCUGAGUUCUUAUCUCAACCUGAUUUAUGGCUUCUCGUAACUGGCACUGAGGAUGGUCUUCAUGUGUAUAAAAACUCGUUUUUGCUGCUCGGAGACACCAUUACACAGAACGCUGGAAUAUGUGCUGGUGUGUUUGACCUCCUCCUUGCAAGCAACAGUUAGAGACUGAUAUCUGCGGAAAAUUGCUCAUGUAAUCUUUUUCUCUUCUAAAUAAAUGUUAACUUUGUGACUUUAAUUGAUUAACGUGCUGCGAUCCUUCUCAUCAACCAACUCGGGGGGGAUUGGAGAUCCCGACACUCUAAGAUCAAUGAGAGGGAUACCUUGUUCACGAGCCCAGGCCUCAUCCACAAAACUUCCUUCGGCACCAGAGUUAAUCAAAGCCAGGCAGGAGAUGGCGGAGCCCAGCCACCGUAGAUGGAAGGAAAAGGUAGUGCAGGUGCGUGACAGGGGCGUCUAAGGAGGAUGCACUCACUAGUAACCCCCUCUCUACUGGUGAACUCUGGCUUUUACCGGGCAGGCUGAGAAGAAAUGGGAAGGUGAUCGACAGUAUAUACAAAGACGUCCGGUGAUGCAGCGUUGGCGUUCCGCAGCGGAGAUCCGUAACCCUCCUAGCUGCAUGGGCUCCGAAUCAGCGCUGGCGGAGGGUGACGGAGAGGAAGGCGCAGAGGGAAGUGACCCCUUCAGGUUGCAGGCUCUGCGGCGUAGUUCGAAGUGCUUCUCGACGCAGAUCACCAUGUCAAUGGGGGGGGUCAAGUCGAGAAGGAAUCUCGCGGGCUAAAACCUCAUCCUUAAUCUCUGCAUUCAAUCCCUCCAGAAAUUGUGCCACCAGAGCGGGUUCGUUCCAGUCGCAGGAAGUCGCUAACGUGUGAAAUUCAAGUUGGCGGUCAAUCUCUUUCCCCGACAAAGAGGAGUCGAGAGGCUUCAGCCCCGUGUGCGGAAUGGUCGAAAACUCUUGACAUCUCCUCCUUGAAGAGCACAUAACGGUCGAGGCAGUCGACGUCCGAACUCCAGACAGCAGUUCCCACUCACGCGCCCGGCCGGUGAGAAGAGAGACCACGAAGGCGAUGCGGGAUCGGUCACUGGCGUACCUCGAGGGCUGAAGUGAAAAAACUUCCGACAUUCUGUCGGCUCACCCGCAUAGCAUGGAGGAUUGUUCACUCUGGGUUCCGGCGCGUCGAGGUUCCGGGCCGAGGGGGGGAUCACGAACACAAAGGUGAAGAAGCUGCUGAGACAAGUUGGUCACCUGAGCCGCGAGAGAUUCAACAGCCUGAUGAGUGGCGGCUAGCUCACCCUCAUGACUUCCCAGCAUAGUUUCCUGUAGCUCGAGGGCAGACUGGAACUGGUUCUCCCUUGCUGGAACCAUGGUGGCCAGAGUAUUCUGUCGUGUUUGUGAAGGAGAGAGGACCCAAACGCAAGGGAAGCUAACGUCUGUUUUAAUCAACUUAGAAUGUCCAAGGCAAAAAAUGGAACUAAGGUAGCCAGUCUUUGGAACACAGACCAACAUUAGAUCUUCUCAUCCUUUGACCUCUUUUUACCUCAGUUUACAUUCAGGAUUAAAGUGUGACAAAUAAUGAUUAUAUAUAAAGAAACCAAAAGUCCAGCAUUAAAUACAUCUGUAAUAACCUACGUAAACACAGUUAAAUAUAAGUAAAUCUAUGGUUUAAAUACAUGUAUUCGCACGUUUACUCUGCGUCUCCUUGAACUGUCUCUGUUCUGCCUUCACUGACACAAUGCGUGGAAAAUAAAUAUCUGAUUCAAGAGCAACGAGUGUGCGUUGUUCAACUAUUGCUAACUUGUGCUGACACAUCCCGUUGGACCAGGAUUAAUUAUUUAUAUCCAUUAAUUAACUUUUAACCGCUGUCAUUGCAGACGGAUUUCUAGCAUACACAGGUUCCAUUGCGUUGACUCUUACUAUGAAAAUCGACAUACUUCCGGUUUAGUGGCUGCUCUUCGUAUUUUUAUUUUAUGGGCAAAACCCCAAAAGGGAUUAACGGAGUAAAAAAUGGUCAGUUUGUCUCGUUUUUUGGUUCUAAAGGAAAAACAAGUAAACGACUGUCCACUUCCGCUUUACUGUUUUUGAUUAAAAACAAAAAACGUCAAACAAGAAAAGUGUUAAAAGUGUCUUUCAAAAAGGUACACAGACCUGUCUUUAGACGCCGAUCAGCCAGAUACCAGCAGAAGGAAAAAACAACAACAACGGCUAAACCCCAAACUAAGGUGAAAACCAACCAAUAAACCACAUUAAAUGAAUGUGUAUAACUAAGGGAAAAUACAAAAGAAAACGGAGAUCAUUGUUUUAAAAUCAUUAGCUGUAAAAUGUACUACAUUAUGGAGUAGUGUUCUCUUAAGUUAUUAGAUCUCAGCGUGCACAAUCUGCUACACACAAUGGGAACACACACUCACUCACACACAAGCACAUACACUUCAACAGGGCACAUUCUGUUCUGUUCUCCAUCCUCUAUUAAUCGAGCAGCUGCAGACACAAAACACUCCUUUACUUUACGUCCUACACGCACUCUCUCUCUCCCCUCUGUCCUCCUCCCUCUGGAGCACUGGUCUAAGCUGCAGAGCUCUAGGUUGUUAACACCUGCAAAGUAUUUUUUGGAGAAGCACUUGGAACUUCAGUGAAGGGAUGGAUGAAUAAGGAAAACGAAAUGAAAGCAGGGAUAGUGGGAGUUGCAGAUUCAUCAAUGGGCCUGAGAGUGUGCUCGCCACCUGCUCCACCAUGGUUGCUGCCAGAAUCUGAUGUAGACAUUCUUCUAUUAGACUGGAUCAACAAGGGUGUAGGAGAUCCAUUGACUUUAGUUAAGGAUCAUCUUAAAAGGAAAACAGGCAGAUUUACACGGAUGGAAAGCACAUGUCCAAUGUAUCAGUCUUCACUCCAGAGUCUCUGGCCUUAGCUGUGGCCACUUGGGUGGGGAGAAAAAGUCUCCAUCCUUUGGUCUAAUUAAUAGUGGUUAUUACAGCCAUCCAUGCGCUUGCCCGCCUUUACCAUUUGACAAUUUGUAUAGCUAUUGUAUUUUUUACCCCCUGUGCUGGUAAUACAACCAUUAUCAUUUUGUCUUCUCUGCUGUUUGACAGUUGUUACAGUCGUCUCUAUUUUUCUUACCUUAAUAUCCUCCCCCACUUCCCAUGUUGUUCCUGUGUUCACUUGUGCAUUUACAUGGUGGUGACAGCAGGUAUACGUAUGUAGCCUGAUUAAAAUUAUGACAGGACACUAAGAUAAAUUUAUUUCUCUUUAAUGUGGGUUCUUUAUUUCCCCCGACUGCACUCCUGGAGCACAGCCUUAAUGUGUCAAAUUAAGGAGGCACUUGGAACAGUGUACAAAUAACCAAUUGCUUCGCUUCACUAACUAACAGGAUGUCAUGGAAUAGAGCUACAAUUACCUUAAGCUAGAAAUUACAUGAAGCUAACAGUUACAUAAAAAACAACAGUAGUGAAACAAAAAAACAUGCACAUCAUGCUGUUCAAAUCCCACACCAUUGUUGUUCCUCCAAAAAGUCCCGAAAACAAUAAACUCACUCAAGCGCCGGCACGCACGGCUCCGUGCACGUGCAACCUCAACCCACAGCAGCUUGUUACUCCCCUCUAAACGAAGCAGAGGUGCAUAACCCAAGAACAUACACUCAGUAACAGUCAAUCAAUCACAAUUUACAUGGUGAGUCAGGUUUAUUAAUGUGAGAACACUUACGCUGACCCGCUGAACAGGUAUUUCCCUAGCGCUGUUCCGAUGCUAAACGCUAACACUGUGUUGUCGUCAGUAGCCGCCAGAUCCCGUUCUGCAACUCCAGUGAACUUAUGCCAAUGUACUUAAAGUGACAGUACGCCCUCAGCCUGUAAUGCGGACCAUCUAGCAGUCCAAAAACCUUCCUGCCCCCACUUCACCCGGCUACAUUUAUAACAACAAAACACCGGUAAAACAGUGGUAGAACACUUUUAAGACACUCGUAAAACGUUGUCAUUUCUCUGUAACUUUCUGCUGCAGCUCUCCUGCUGCGCUCACUUCCACCCCUCCCUCACAAGCUCUCGCGCCCUGUUUUAUUGAUUGCCAUAAUAUCUAGAAAGCGGCAUUUCUCAGCUUUCAGAAUCCAAUUGUGCAAAUAGUUUUCGAAUCCUCCAUGUCAAUUUCCGUCGCCGGCGAAAGGCUUCGGAUUAAGAGGGUUAAAAGACAGACAGUGCGGCUGUCCAAUCAGAAGGGUCCGUCCUCUGCUAUCUGCUAUAAGGCCCUACCCUUUCCGUAAGAGGUUAAUUUUGUUGUCCGUUCCUAUUUGUCGUUGUGUUUUGCACUUCAGGGCCACCGUAGGUUAGCCAACCACUGGCCUUGAUAGAACCCCCCCCAAAACAUACGGAUUGAGCGGCAUCUGUGAAUAGUUGCAGUGAAUCGGAGGAAUUCACAAUGUCGUCGUAAAAGAGCGUUACUCCGUUCCAGUGCUCCAGAGCAGGAGAGCCCAGAACGGUAUCCGUCGCUGUUUUUUUUCUUGGCUGCAUAUUUAGCCAGAGUAUACUCUCCACAUCGGAAAAUGCAUACUGAGCUUAACCAGGCCAAGCCUCUAAUAACACGUUACUCUGCUACUUUAAACACCGAAGCACGUUACAUCCCGACACUAUCUAGCAUCACAUUGAGGAUAGCCGGAUAAUGCUAAAAGGGCUACAGCUUUGCCUUGACGGGAAUGCUGAGCUGCUUCAAUCUGCGUGGAUGAAGAGGGUUGAUUUGCCAUGCCGAGUAUUAGCCGCGCGAGGUCUGCGAUGCUGGGCAAUAGCUGGGGAGAUGGAAGCCUGGUGCUGGGACCCCACAGCACUCUUCAGUUUAUCCAGCCUUCUUCUUGCUGCUGGGGAGUUGCUGCACCUUCUUCUGCAAAGGGCUGCUCGCCGGCUCACGUUGUUAAUCUAGCUUCCCUGCGAUCGAUCGACGUCUCUGAGUGACACGUUGUGUCAGAACCACUAAUUCAACAUUCACCUUGCGUCUGGUGCUUGCUCAAAAUGACAACUGACAGCAUUUUGAUUUAAUGUAUUCAGCAUCCACGCCCCGAGUGAGGGUACCCAAAAGUGUCUAGUACGAACGUCCUGUGUAACCGGCUAGAUCUUUUUAAGUUUCUUUCUCGACACUGGUGUAAAUUAAUCAAAAACAGGAUAUUUAAUGUUUGCAAACAGGAGACAGAGUUGACACACAUAGUGUCAUGCGCCAAGCCUACUUAAAGGGUUUCAUCUUCGGAGCAAGAAUAUAUAGUUGGAAGAUAAACAUGCUAAAACAGGGAGGGGGUGUGGUAAGCAAGUUGCCUGGAACGAGAGGAAGGUUUAUUUUCAAAAUAGACCAGGAAAUCACGAGACAACCUGAUUAUAUUAAAUGAAAUGAGCCAUCUUUGAGAAUCUAUCCACCACUGCGAGAACAGUGACGAAGUCCAGCGAGUUCUCAGCCCAGGGUCGACUGGUUGCGGCAGACUCGUCCGUGCCUGGGAGGAGGUCUUGUUCCUAGCAGAGACGAGGAAUGCCUCCCCAUACUCCCAGUCCUUGCUUUCCAUGGAAGGCCACCAGAACCUUUGAUGGCAAACAAGGUUCUCCUGAUCCCUAGAUGGCAGGUGAGCUUUGAGGUAUGAGCCCAAUGAAUCACCUGUGUGCGCAUAGCAACUGGAAGAAACAGGCGAUUAACUGGACAACCACUAGAUGUAUGGUUCUCACCAUCAGCACGCUUCACCUCUGAUUCUAUCUGCCACAUUACCGUUCCUGCCGCACGGUGCAGUGGCAGUAUUGGCUCAAGUUUCUUGGCAGUAGGCUCAAGGUCAAACAGACGAGACAGAGCGUCCGGCUUGGUGUUCUGGGACCCCGGCUUUUAAGACAAAAUAAAGUCAAAGUGGUUAAAGAACAGAGUACAUGUGGCUUGACGAGAGUUCAACCUAGCCUUGCGAAUAUACUCAAGGUUCUUAUGGUCAAUCCAGACAAUAAACGGGUGUUGAGCCCCCUCUAACCUCUGUCUCCACUCUUCUAAUGCCAACUUUACAGCGAGCAACUCAUGGUUACCAACAUCCUAGUUCAGCUCCACCGCUGAAAGUUUCCUGGACAGGACGGCACAUGGAUGGAUCUUGUGGUCUUUGGCAGACCACUGAGAGAGGACCGCCUCCACACAGUUGUUAGAAGCAUCCACCUCCACCACAAACUGUCAAUUGGGGUCUGGAACCGUGGGGGGCCAUGGUAAAUAUCUCUGUGGUGGCGGGCGUGGUUUUGCUUAGCUGCAGAAGGGACGGAGAAGGGAGAGGUUCGGGGAACGGUGCCAGGAGGAGGCAUAAUUGGCCUCAGGUGUGUUUAAUCAGUGUGUGUGUUUGUCCUGCUUUUAAGUAGGAGAGAUCCGGCGACGGCAAGAGAGGGCUUAGCCGACAAGGAAGCCAGAGCCGAUCGCGUUACAUUUGUUGUAAACGACUGAAUAAAAUUAUACAUAAUGGACCCAACUGCUGCAUGCUUGUCAUUCCGAGACCGUAGGACGAACCUGCCACAAUCUCCUUGAGCUGAGUGAAAGCCUCCUCUGCUUGGGGAGACCACAGGAACGGAGCUUAAGAGGUGAGAGCAUGGAGAGGAGACGCUAUGGCGCUGAAGUUUCUGAUAAAUCGCCUGUAAAAGUUUGCAAAACCCAGGAAUGGCUGAACCUUCUUGCAGUUACCAGGUGUAGGCCACAGCACUGACUUUUGCCGGAUCCAUUUGUAUCUUUCCAGGGGCAUGACGAUGCCCAGAAAAGACACCACAUUGGCAUGAAAUUCACUCUCUUCUGCUUUAACAUAAAGCUGGUUCUCCGGCAGGCGCUCAGGACCUGGCAGACAUGGGUCUUUGUCAUGGGAGAAAAUCAAGAUGUCAUCCAGAUCGACAAAAACAAACUGGUUAAGAAACUCCCGGAGCACGUCGUUGAUCAAUGCCUGAAACACCGCAGGAGCGUUGGUUAGGCUGAAUGGCAUCACAAGGUACUCUUUAAUGGCCGGAAGGAGUGUUAAAGCCAGUCUUCCACUCGUCGCCCUUGCUGAUGCGACCCAAGUAAGCAUUUCGCAGGUCUAGCUUGGUGAAAGUUUUGGCCUGUUGUAGUUGUUCAAAGGCUGACAUGAGGGGCAGAGGGUAACGAUUCUUAAUAGUAAUGUAAUUUAAUGGUCCAUAGUCAAUACAGGGUCUCAGGAAACCAUCCCUUUUCCCCACAAAAAAGAAACCGAAGCCGAAAUGUAUUCGGUGAUAGCUACUUUCUUAGGGCUGAAAAUAGAAUAAAGUCUCCCCUUUGGAAUUGGUGCCCCUGUUAGGGAUUUAAGCCAGAAGUGCACCCCUAGUCAUGGAAUUAUAAUACAUGUAAUAAUGUUUAGUGUUUGAAUUGUAGUUUGUGAUGUUAGAUAUUAGUUAUUACAUUAACAUGUUGGAUGAAGUGAAUGCAAUUUGAAUUAAACACAAUGUAUAGUCGUUUAAAUCAUAUAAACACUGUACACAUUAACAUUCUGUCACAAUGUGAUGUUAAAACCUGGGGACGGAUGCUAAUUGCCGUCCUUUAUGGAUUUCUCCCAAUUUUAUCCCCAAAGAGGGUUUUUUGGGAGUUUUUUUCUCCUGUCAGGUAGUAAAUGAACAACUUAAUGUAAGGCAGCCGACUGAGGCAAAUGUCUUGAGAAUUGGACCACAUGAACUGUCUUAGAUCUUCUGAUGAAGUGUGAUGAUCAUUAAUGAUGUGUUGUAAUUAAGGUGUACUAGUUAUAAGAUGAAGACAAACUAUGCAUGCUUUGUUAUAUUCACUCAUUGAGGCAUAAAGCCAAAUGUAUCUACAUUGAAUGCAUUGGAAUGUGAGGGACAGAUAGGACAGAGGUUCAGGUUACAGCUGCAGCUUCACACCUCGAUGGGAAGGGGACAGUCCAGGAGGGAACACUUUGAAGGAGAAGCCAAUGACAUUCAAAUGCACCAAAGAAGACACACCUCAAGAGUUUUCAAAGGACCAAAGUGGGGAAAGGACUGUUUUCCUGCAGCCGCUUUGAUAAGUCGCUUUAGACUUGCUCAGAGAAUUCUCUAUUUCGCAAAAUAUUUUACUGUUCGCUUUGUAUUUCACUUUGUAAUUGUAUUCCUUAUGACGUUGCUUAGUUAUUAAAUACUUUUUGAUUUUUGAAUUUAAGCAAGCUGACUUUUGAUUCUUCGUUUCCGGCCGGGACGAGAACAAAGGAGUGAGGCCUCCCUCGAGAGCUUUCCGAAACCCUAACACCCCCCGGGGUAAGGUCAAUGGGACAGUCGUAAAGGUUGAUGGGGUGGUAGAAGUGGCCUUAUUCUUGCUGAACACUUCCUUGAUCAUGAUAGAAACUGGGAAUGGAGGCGCUGACAUGGCUUUGGCCAUUUGUCAGCGGCAUAAUAGCCAUCUGCUCAGAUGAUCAGCUAUGAUCCAGCACUCAUUAAAGAUGCUCAAAAUAAUGGUUUUAUCUGAUUGCUUAACUUUUGAUUCAAACUGAAUGAUUAGUAAUUGACCAGGAGAGACAAGUGACUGAUUAGUAAUAAACAUUUACUAAGAGAUGAUGUGUUACUGCGUUUCAUGAAUAUUCCUUGAUGCUUGAACAGAAUAGUGAUCAAAUGGCCCUGAUCAGCAACAAUAUUUAAAUACUUCCAAUGAGCCCAGAAACUAUUCAUUUUUAAAAGCUGAAUAGAUUUAGCCAGUCUCAAUAUUUAAAUAUCUACAGGUGAUCUCAAGUGGGCCAGACCAUAAAAAUCAUAUAGGGGAGGGUCCUGCUUAGACUGCGACUCCCAAUGGACUUUUUAGGAAUAGCAGCUACUUUUAUAAAUGCAAUACAUGUCUUUCUGUAAUUCUCACAAUAGCAAAGUCAUCCGGUGGGCCAGACCCAACCCGCGGGCCUUGACUUUGAUACCUGUGUUAAGAGGGAGGGGAAACCUAGUGAUCGACCUUACCAUUUUCUAAACUCUGACUUUAAACUACCGGUCUACAAGUUUCACACAUUGGGCCAAAAUUUAAAAACUGGGAAUACGUUGAGGGCUGGGGGCCAUGCGCAUGGGCAGUCCAGUUGCAGUCAAACACGGAGAGGACUGACUGGAGCACGGGCUGCUCAGCAAGAAUACCGUGACAGCAACCAUCUGUAAGUGCUUUGGGGUGUUCUUUUAUGACAGUAACUAGAGAAGGCUACGUGACAUGAUAUUUUCUCGCAGACUGGAGAUAAUUGUGCCAAGGCCAACUCCCACCCGCGGGCCUUGAGUUUGACAUGUCUGUGGUAGACAAACCCCACUUGUUAUUUUGCAUCAUAUUUAAUGUGUGUACGUUAAAACUGUUUUUAGUAAGGAGAUAUGCAUACAUGCCGCAUGUAACAUGCUGUCCCAGCAAGGGAAUGGAAUGGUUUGUUUUUAAAUGCUGAAAAUAAGUCUAAUGCUUCUCCAAUACGUCCAGCAAACAAGGGCUCAAUGUGACAUGGCCUUUACCACAUAGAACUUUAAUUCAAGGAUUUACAAAGACUAGCUGAUAUAUUUAAGUGCCCAAAUAUAUCAGAUGAAGCACAUUUUACUUUAACAAAGCCAUGCUUUUACAAAAAAAAAAAGAUUUUGAGAUUACAAACAAUAAUAAUUGACCUUCAAUAUUCUCAUGUAAUAAUUUAUUAUUUCUAAAUGUUUUAUUUAAUAUUCACCUGAAAAUUUUUGUUUGCAAUGAUUUUAAUAUGUUCAUGUUGAGCGAGUGAGAACGAUUGACUCUUACACAGGCACUGAGGUUAGCUUUGGGGGCCUUUGGGGAAAAAAGCAGGAAGAAUGUUACACUUGACAG
ensembl:lncRNA